UUAUAGUGAUGUGGGGACGCAACGUGGUAGACCAGCCCAUUAUUGGAUUUGGGUGCAAUCCGUUUAGGCGUUGAGACCGGUAGGAAAAUCCGCCGGUUGAGCUGAGACGAGCGCGAGCCCUUGAGGCGUAAGUGGUUGAGCCAUAUUGCCAAGAAAAGCCACUAAACGUUGUAAUAUUCAGGUGCCUGUACCGCAAUCCGACACUGGUGGACGGGUUGAGUAUACCAAGGCGAACGGGAGAACUAUCGUUAAGGAACUAGGCAACAUGACCCCGUAACUUCGGGAUAAGGGGUACCCACGCAAGUGGGUCGCAGUGAAAUGGCUCUAGUGACUGUUUAACAAAAACACAGGUCUCUGCUAAGCCGUAAGGCGAUGUAUAGGGGCUGACGCGUGCCCAGUGCCGGAAGGUUAAAGGGAGAGGUUAGACGCAAGUCGAAGCUUUGAACUGAAGCCCCGGUGAACGGCGGCCGUAACUAUAACGGUCCUAAGGUAGCGAAAUUCCUUGUCGGGUAAGUUCCGACCCGCACGAACCGCGUAACAACUAGAGCACUGUCUCAACGAUAGACCCGGUGAAAUUGAAAUGGCUGUGAAGAUGCGGCCUACCCGCAGUAGGACAAAAAGACCCCGUGGAGCUUUACUGCAAUUUGGCAUUGAAUUUGGGUAAGAUCUGUGUAGCAUAGGUGGGAGGCUUUGAAGCUGGGGCGCUAGCCUCGGUGGAGCCAUUAGUGAAAUACCACCCUGAUCUUAUUUAGAUCCUAACCCCAUACCGUCAUCCGGAUGGGGAACCGUGCCAGAUGGGCAGUUUGACUGGGGCGGUCGCCUCCUAAAAAGUAACGGAGGCGCCCAAAGGUUCCCUCAGGUUGAAUGGAAACCAACCAAAGAGUGUAAAGGCAUAAGGGAGCUUGACUGCAAGACCAACGCGUCGAGCAGAGACGAAAGUCGGGCUUAGUGAUCCCACGAUACCGCGUGGAAGGGUCGUGGCUUACCGGAUAAAAGCUACCCCGGGGAUAACAGGCUGGUGAAGUCCAAGAGUUCACAUCGACGACUUCGCUCGGCACCUCGAUGUCGGCUCAUCGCAUCCUGGGGCUGUACAAGGUCCCAAGGGUCGGGCUGUUCGCCCGUUAAAGCGGUACGCGAGCUGGGUUCAGACCGUCGUGAGACAGGUCGGUCUCUAUCCACUGUGGGCGCAAGGGAUUUGAAGGGAGCUGCUCCUAGUACGAGAGGACCGGAGUGGACAGACCUCUGGUGUGCCAGUUGUUCCGCCAGGAGCAUCGCUGGGUAGCUAUGUCUGGCAAGGAUAACCGCUGAAAGCAUCUAAGUGGGAAACCUGCCCUAAGAUUAGAUCCCUCAUGGAGUUAAUCCAGUAAGACCGCAGGUAGACUACCUGCUAUAUAGGCGGCAUGUGUAAGCGUAGUAAUAUGUUGAGCUAAGCCGUACUAAUGGUCGAGGGCUGAGCAAA
rnacentral:rRNA from 1 species